AAGGAUUUAAGUUAAAAAAACUGCCAACCUUCAAAGCUGGAAAUAGAAUGCUCCUUUUCUAAGCCUUG
rnacentral:tRNA from 1 species